rnacentral:rRNA from 1 species
UACGAAGGGUGCUAGCGUUGUUCGGAAUCACUGGGCGUAAAGCGCACGUAGGCGGCUUUGCAAGUCAGAGGUGAAAGCCCGGGGCUCAACCCCGGAAUAGCCUUUGAGACUGCAUCGCUAGAAUUGUGGAGAGGUAAGUGGAAUUCCGAGUGUAGAGGUGAAAUUCGUAGAUAUUCGGAAGAACACCAGUGGCGAAGGCGACUUACUGGACACAUAUUGACGCUGAGGUGCGAAAGCGUGGGGAGCAAACAGG